UUAAAGAAAGAAAAGGACUUGUGACAAAAACGCAAAGUAACAAAACGGCAAAUUAACAAAGAGAAACAAUAUGGAGUAUAAGGGGAAUAUUAUACAAACGAGACAGUUAAAAGAGUAAUGGCGAAAAGUGUAUGAAAAUGCUUGAAUUAAGGUACAAAUAUAAUACAAUCUUUUAAUAAUUAUAUAUUUUUUUUCUUUAUAUCAUCUCGUUUUAGUUUUUUUUAGAAUAACCAUAAUACAUAGUAUUUUAUUACAGAAGUAGAUCCCUCAUCAACCAACCGUAGCAAAGCCUUCAAAAGGGGGAAAGGAGGAGUGAUUUUGUAGCAAAAUCUCAACCGCAAGCCUUACCCACGGAACCGGAAGGCGCAGACAGGAGAUGCGUAAAGGAAAAGCAAUAAUGACACUUUUUAUUCCGCACAGGUAAACAACAGUAACAGAAAACAAUGAAUUUCUUCAAUUUAAGCCAGCCCCAACUUUUAUUCAAAAAAUCUGAAGUUUGCAAUUGAAUUAUUCGGUAAUUGCAUCUCAGUAAAAUUCCAGAGGAUCUACCUCACAAUAUUAUAAAUGCAAUAAAAAAAAAUCUAUUACAAGAGUCAUCAUCAAAUGGGUUAAUUUUGGGUUCCUAUGAGAAAUUGAAAAAAAAAUGUAAUUAAAUAAGUAUACUGAGCAAGAAACAAAAGAAAACAACGAUGUUAUUAACGAUCUUUUUCGAUGGAAUUUAAUGUCAUGUUUGAAUAAAUUAUUUUGACAAAAUCUAAACAUAACUUCCUCGAGAGAUGACGCGGGAGGACAAGACGAGAAGGCAACAUCCGGCGAGAGCAACCAGAGGAGCAGUUUCAACGGUACCUCUAUGAAAACGUACCACAGUCAAAUUGGUACGAAGACGAGAAAUAACAGAUCGGAUGGAAAGUUGAAGGUCAAAGGUGCUGGUAUGGCGGAGGAGAGGAUUCAGCGAACAUAAUUUUUCACCGGAGACGAUUCAAGGUCAACUCGGGUGGCACAUCGAGACAAAUAUUAUUGUACAUCUGCGAAUCUGCUAAUACGAACCAACACAAUGCAGAGCAUCGGGAAAAACUACAACAACAACAAAACAACAACAACAAAAACAACAACAACAACAACAAUUCAUACAGACAUAUGAUGAGAGAAGGACGUCCUCAAAGUUUCCCAAAUUAACCGACAUAAUGUAAUGUUCACCAACCGCAUUACAUUCACCAUUGAGGAAGCACUUACUCCGUGCUUCUUACAACAUCAAUUAACAGUAACCAUAACCCGGAAUGCAACAUUUCGACAUCAUCAAAAGGUUUGGAAUUUAAGCCAACUAAUUACAAACUCUUUAAAGAAUGUGCAACAGUUCCACAAUUUGCACCAGGUCAAAGACAACAAUAUUCGCAUCACUAUUGAGAUUGAUCCAAUACCAACAAAAUUCAGAAGGCGGGCGAUAAGUAAUCAACCAUAACACCGUAAAUGACAAUGAUAAACAAUCCAGUUCGGAAGGCAACUUAUGACACUAUUUCGAGAAACAACAGAAAGCAACAGUAAAACUAAUUCUUCUGUCUGCAAACGACAGCGCGGGAAUUCCAAGCAGGGAAAUACGAUUCAACCGAGGUAAUAUCCGGAUACCAAAGCUUCAUGGUCACGUUCCCACAGGAGACGACAUCAACUGAAUCAACUACAUCAUCUUCAAGACAAACCAGUACAACAGAGAAGCAACGAUACCAUUCAUCUGAGACCUGAAACUAACCAAUUGAUCUGGACAUUUAACAAGAAGAGGUAGAAAUCAAUGGUAGACGAACAACCCCUACGACGAAUCAAGAGGAGCAGCAGCAAGUACCAAUGAAGUCAAUCUCUUGAGGAAGAAUGUAAGAAGGUUAAUACAAAAUUUAAAGUUUCUUUGGGAUAUUCAGAUCAAUCAACUGUAGUGGAAAAUAUUGUAAGACACUUACUGGGAAGAUAAAGAUUAGUUUAGCAGUUUCAGUUUAGAAAAUUAACGAUCAUCGUUAACGUCAUCAUCUAAAUGAAGUUUUGGGGGAUACAUUUUACCCACAUCCUUACAUUUGAACGUGAUUUUAUACACGUUCAAACUCCGCUAAGUGGGAGGGCAUGCAACGCCUAAAUAUUCCCACGCCUUCCGAUAUUCUAAGUCAAUUCAACUGUGAAAGAAAAAGAUGCAUUUCCCCCCCCACACACUCCCGUUAGAGUAGCUGCCUGGGUGUGUUUUUAUUUCAAUUUUUCACCAACAGCUACGCUCUAGGUAGGUUCUACCCACUUCACGCGCUGUAAAUUGGAAGCAACGGGAAACAUACCAUUCGUUACUGACUUUGUUUUUAUGACCCAUCAUCGCACCCGGUGAUGGCCGGGUGCGAUCGUGUUCAAACACGGGAGUCGAGCCGGUAAAUCCACAAUAUGCUUGGUGGGUCAAUGGUCGCUGGGUUUGAUUGUCGGCGACCGAUUCCAAGGCUCAAUUGUAAACCUGUAAAGGUUUUGUUUUUGAUCUAAAAUGUCGUACUGGACGUUGACUAAAACAACAUCCGUACGGUGUCCUGGUUUCGCGGGGCAGCGACCGCGCAGCGAUGCGUUUGUUUUGUUUUCCAUGAUCGUAUAUGUUGGGUCCGGUUGGUUUGGUGCAGCUCUGAUUACGCUCGGUGGGCCGUCGAUAGGAAUGCCAUGGAACGGAUACCCUAUCGAUCGCGCUAGAAUGUUGCGAAAAUCAAGGCGCCGUAUUGGCCGCAUAUGGCUUUAGGUAGCCUAGAUUGUUUUGGUUUUGAAAUCGAGGCACUGUAUCUGCCGAGAAUGGUUUCAGGUAGCCGUGAUUGUUUUCACUUGGUUCGAUUUUUGAACCCAGGUGAACCAUAAAAGGAAUGUUGAAAAUCGAAAUCGUACUGGCGGCAUAGGGGCGCCGGAAUUGUUUUGUACUCGAUUUUGUUUUGACUUCGAGUAAAAGAAUGUGGGGUAUAAUUUCAACGAACAUCCGCGGCCGAGCCCGGCUAGGGGUCAUUGUGCACAAGCAAGGGUACAUUUGAAUAACAAGGCGGUUGCUUUGUUUUGAAGAAUUGGGUGCCAAGUCCGAAAGAUGAUGGCGCUAAGAAUGAUGAUGAUGAUGAUGAUGAUAAUGAUGAUGAUAAUGAUGAUGAUGACGAUGAUGACGAUGAGGAUGAUGGUGAAGAUGACGAUAUGACACGCCCAAGCAUUGAAGAUGCCCAAGUGAGGCGGGGCUAGACGAUGUAGGCCUUCGGGUAAAGAUUCUUAGAAGGGGUUUUUGCGAACACGCCCAAGUCAGGCGUGGUUAGGAAAUUAGGUUUUUUUUAUCAGAACUAGGAUUUUUGGUAGGGCUUGGGAUACGCCCAAGACACGGCUAGGCUUGGGAUACGCCCAAGAGAAAAGAGAUUUUUCAAGAAGAGAAAGAUGUAAAACACGAUGUGGACAAGUAGGAAAGGUAGAAGGUUUUGGGACGUUUUAGUAUUUACAUUUUUUUAGGUUUUUGGACACGCCCAAGAUGGGUUGGGCAACGUUAGGAAUUUUCGUGACUUCUUCGGGUAUUGCUAGGAAAUUUAGGCUAUAAAUACGGAGGUUUUGGCUUCAGUCGGGGGCAGUUGUUGAAGAACAGAGUAAUCGAGGAGAGUUCGACGUUAGAGUUGUUGAAGAACGGAGUUGUUGAGUUCAAAGACAGUCAGUGAGACAGUGGGUCAGUUUCAACGCUAGAGUGUUCAAUCUUGGUUCAGAAAAGACAGUAGUUGUAAAAGUUCAGUUUUUCAACGUAAGAGUAAAAGUCCAGUUCGGUUCAGUUUUUUCAACUUCGGUGAAGAAAUACAGAAAGGUGAUAUAAGAAAAAAAUUGAAUCAUUGUAAUAUAAGUUAAGUGAUGGUUUGUGAUAUUUCAAUAUAGAUUAUUAAAAAGAUA